AUUGAACGCUGGCGGCAUGCCUUACACAUGCAAGUCGAACGCGAAAGGGGGCAACCCUGAGUAGAGUGGCGAACGGGUGAGUAAUGCAUCGGAACGUGUCCUGUAGCGGGGGACAACCCCGAGAAAUCGGGGCUAAUACCGCAUACGUCCUACGGGAGAAAGUGGGGACCGCAAGGCCUCACACUAUAGGGGCGGCCGAUGCCGGAUUAGCUAGUUGGUGAGGUAAGAGCUAACCAAGGUGACGAUCCGUAGCUGGUCUGAGAGGAUGAUCCGCCACACUGGGACUGAGACACGGCCCAGACUCCUACGGGAGUCAGCAGUGGGGAAUUUUGGACAAUGGGCGCAAGCCUGAUCCAGCCAUGCCGCGUGAGUGAAGAAGGCCUUCGGGUUGUAAAGCUCUUUCGGCCGGGACGAAAUCGCUUUCGCUAAUAUCGAGAGUGGAUGACGGUACCGGAAUAAGAAGCACCGGCUAACUACGUGCCAGCCGCCGCGGUAAAAC
rnacentral:rRNA from 1 species